GACAGAUCUGACACAGAGAGUAAUGGGAUUCUCUGGGUGAGGAGGGUCCUGGCCCUCCUCAGAUUUAGUCUUAGCUGCUAUUGGUUCUUCUAAGUUAGAGAAACAUCCCGUUGAAGUACCCACUGCAGGAGGCUGGAAAGCAUAGGGCUUGCAGGGAAGAGAAUUGGCAAAGUAGCUGGAGUUGAUAGCAGGUGUCGGGUAGUUCCCCCGCACAGCAGUCUGUUAACAGAAGGUUCUGAGAGGCCAGGCAGAGUUCCUUAAGGUGGGCAGAUGAAGUAAAUGAAGACAUGCCCACCAGGAAUGUUCUGAUUGGCAGGAACAACUCAUUCUAGAAUCAGGUCAUGGUUAGGAUGAAGGCUGACAUGUUUUUUUCUGGUCUCAGAGUGACCACCAAGCCUUUGAAGUUGGAAGGAGUUUAUUUUCAAAAUUAACAAAAGGAACCUCCUGCCAGGAGCAAUUUAUGGAGCUUGUUUCUCUGUUGUUGAAGCCAUGGGAUGAGAACAGUGUACCAAGAAAAGAUUUAAUGAGUUCUUGGAGAAUUAAGUCAGAUGAGGUUAUUAAAGGGAAUCAGAGAGGUGCAGGGAAGUUUCCCCAUGUCAUGAGAUUGCACAAAGUUCAGUAGCCUUUCCCAACCCCUGGUACUACUGCAUGCCCAUGUCCAUAAGCCAUGAUUUCCAAGUGACCUUUAAGGACUUCCUCUUGGUGACAGCAUGCUGUGGCUCCCCAUUCUCACCUGUUGGGGUUCAUAUGAGUACCAUGUCCCCAAAUAUUACACCCUUCAUUUACAGCCCACAAGACUCAAGGUCUUUGCUUCUGGUGAUCUUGCUCAGCUCAGUCUCUCCAUGGUAAGAAUCUGGUUCCAUGGUUCCAACUGUCAUAUGGCUCCGGGAAUGAGUAUUUGGCUUGUAUCCCAUGUGGCCAAACUCUUAGCAACACCCAGCAGAGCAGAGAGGGAAGAGGCAAUGUUUAGACAGCGUAUUGGCAUCAGGCUCCAAGCACGUUGUGUUAUGGACAAUGGCUGAUAGUGUCUGCAAAGACCAUAAGAAGGAUGGCCUAUUUUACAUUGGACAAAUAAGGAAACUGAGUCUCAGAGAGUUUAAUAACACACCCAAAGUCACAGAGCUAGUGAAGGGGAGGGCUGCAUUCUUCUGGCUCAACUCUGUAUUCUUUUAUUCUUCCUCUUUCCUAACAGAACAUACAAAGAACAUCCCCUCCUCUAACCUAAACUCUGGGACAGUGUUUCCUAGCAGGGUAGAAGCUGUUGUGUAGCAGUAUCCUCAGAGAUAAACUUUCCAUCUUGGAGGGAAGCUCUGUAAGAUGCUGUAUAUUCCAAAGGGAGGUGAAACAUUCUACUCUUCAGGGAAGCUUAGUAAAACUCAGGAAGUGAACAACUCAGUAGCCUCAGGAAGUUACUGAAACUGACUGGAUUCACUAAGCCCCUCCCUCAUCAAGCAUAUAUAAUCAGUAAGGACUGCUAAGAGGUGCUCUCACAUAAGACAAGCCACCCAGAGGAAGCAGAGAUCAGAUGAACUGACCAAAAGUGACAGAGACCAGCCUAGUGCAGGAAGAGAAAGAGACCAACCAGCUGUGGUAGGUAAAAGAGGCUCAGGCUACCUGAGUUGCCCAACCCCGAGAGACACUCUCUAAGCUUUUGAGCUGCCUGCAGGCUGAGCGGUGUGCUCCAGGUUUUCAGUUUUUGUGAACUACCACCCACGCUGGCAUUUGGUGAUGCAGCUGACUUUGAGUCAUUUCUGCUCCUGUAAGUAACCCCUCACUCAUAUUCCUGUAAGGGACCCCAAUAAAACUCAUUGGCCCACCACAUUUCUUUGGUAUUUUUACUUUGGUCUGUUGUGGGUUCCUAUCAGGGGUGAGCGGAUGUUUGUCCCCAUCCCCCCAGGAAGAGUGUCACACAGCAAGAGCCAAACAGUCCCCCCAUGACUUUUGGAGGCCCUAAGUUCUCACCCUGACCUUGAGUGAAUUACUUGAUCUAAGUAUCCGUUUUCAACAGCGAUAAAAUGGGAAAAAUGCCAAGCCUUGUAUCAGGGCCGUGAAUGUAAGACAAGACAGCAUCCAAGCACUUCACCAUGGCCAGGGGUAUUCUUAAUGGCAGAAAAAUCAGUGUUCAGCUGCUUACUGAGCUCACUUUGUUCUUUCCCCAUUGUGGCUCACUCGGGUUCCCUGGGUGAGUGCUGGUCCCAACCAUACUGGACCUGAACUGAUGAAGAUUUUACUGUACAGCUGAGAGUAAGUCUUUGGCGAUUCCUUUGAGUCUGGUCAUUGUGGGGAAGCAUGGAGAAAAAUCUAGAGAGAAUUCCUUGGUGCCAGCUCAAGAAAGGAAGUCGUUUUUUAGAUUCAAAGCCCAGGCUUCCAGCCAAGCUCUAGGAAUAAUGGAAACUGCUGGGGAUGGAGGGGAUGAGUCACUUACUUGGGGUGAGUCUGGCAGCCAGAAUUCCAGGCAUUUCAAGGUGUCUGAGAGAUAAAGUGGGGAGAGGCUAGAGACAGGAAGUGCAGAUGAUGAUGAGACUUUAUGGAAGACCUGUGACCUCAGCUCAGCCCUACAAAAAAGUCUGAGAGAGCAAGAUGAACUCCAUUUUUUUUUUUUUUUGCUUUUGUGUUUUUAUUUAUUUGUGGUGCUAAGAUUGAAUCAAUUUCCUCUUUUUACUCAGGCAAGGCACCAAGCUGCACUCUGAAGCUGCCAGACUACUUUAAAACACCAAGUCCCAAACACAAGAAAUAAAUCCCAGCCCACAGAGGAGUGGGACCUUGGAUCUGUAGCCUGAUAAACUCCAUUUUAAAGAAAACUUCAAUACUCAGAUAAAAGCUGAACCAAGUUCCAGAGACACAGACACCCAGCCAUUGGACAUCUGCUCUACCCUGGGUGUGCUCUGAAUGCAGGAGAGGAGAGACAAAUGAACUGGUACUUCAAUUAAAUCAUGCCUUUUCUUUGCUGCAUACUUGACCCUCACCACUCAUACACGUGAGCACGUGGAUGGAGUAAACCAGAGGUUGGAAAUACUGGGAGAAAAAAAUUCUAUUGGUAUUGAACUUGUAUGGGCUAUCUUUCUUUUUGUUGUUAUUCUCUAAAUGACAUUCUAUAGCCAAUAUUUUCAUAGCAUUAGCAUUUGCAUUGCAUUGGACAGUCUAAUUAAUGUGCAAAUGAUACAAAAUGCCAGAAGAAUGUUCCCGGCUUCUAUGGUAAUGCAAUGCUAUUGUAUGUAAGCGAACUGAACAUCUGUGGAUUUAGAUCUCCAUUCAGGUACUGCAACUAAUUCCCCAUGGAGACUGAGAGACACUUGUAUUUUUUGUUGUUUUCACACUCAAGGCCUUGCUGAUCCUGAAGACACUGUUCGCAGUAGGUCUAUCCAAUUCCUAGAGCCC